rnacentral:rRNA from 1 species
CCCUUAGAUGUCCUGGGCCGCACGCGUGCUACACUGACGCCUACAGCGAGUACUUCCCAGCCCCGAGAGGUGGCUGGUAAUCAGCAAUAGGCGUCGUGAUGGGGAUAGAUCUUUGGAAUUAUGGAUCUUGAACGAGGAAUGCCUAGUAAGCGCAGGUCAUUAGCCUGCGCUGAUUAAGUCCCUGCCCUUUGUACACACCGCCCGUCGCUCCUACCGAUUUCGAGUGGUCCGGUGAAUCUUUCGGACUGCGCGCGGCCUCGUGCCGUGUCGCGGAAAGUCAGGUAAACCUUAUCACUUAGAGGAAGGAGAAGUCGUAGCA